UCUCGAUCGCGUAAAAGUUAACUCAAAUUUGUAUGGAGUUUGAACAAGUCCUACGUUUGCCGCUAGGGGCGCUGUUCCAACUCCAUACAAAUUUCAGUUAACUUUUACGCUAUCGA
rnacentral:pre_miRNA from 9 species